UACGUAGGGUGCGAGCGUUAAUCGGAAUUACUGGGCGUAAAGCGUGCGCAGGCGGUUAUUUAAGUCAGGUGUGAAAGCCCUGGGCUUAACCUAGGAAUUGCGCUUGAGACUGGAUAGCUUGGAGUGCGGCAGAGGGAGGUGGAAUUCCACGUGUAGCAGUGAAAUGCGUAGAGAUGUGGAGGAACACCAGUGGCGAAGGCGACUCUUUGGCCUGUAACUGACGCUGGAGGCGCGAAAGCGUGGGGAGCAAACAGG
rnacentral:rRNA from 1 species